GUGGAGAUGGCUCAGUGGUUAAGAGCCCUGCUGCUCUUCUAGAAGACCUGGGUUCAAUUCCUAGCACCCACA
rnacentral:tRNA from 1 species